rnacentral:rRNA from 1 species
UACGGGGGGGGCAAGCGUUGUUCGGAAUUACUGGGCGUAAAGGGCGCGUAGGCGGCCUUCUAAGUCAGACGUGAAAUCCCUCGGCUCAACCGAGGAACUGCGUCUGAUACUGGAAGGCUUGAAUCCGGGAGAGGGAUGUGGAAUUCCAGGUGUAGCGGUGAAAAUGCGUAGAUAUCUGGAGGAACACCGGUGGCGAAGGCGGCAUCCUGGACCGGUAUUGACGCUGAGGCGCGAAAGCCAGGGGAGCAAACGGG